rnacentral:tRNA from 1 species
GCUCCCGUAGCUCAAAGGAUAGAGCAGCGGCCUUCUAAGCCGAAGGUUACAGGUUCGACCCCUGUCGGGAGCG